rnacentral:snRNA from 1 species
AGAUCACUUGAGCCCAGGAGGUUGAGGCUGUGGUAAACUGUGAGUGUGCCACCACACUCAGCCUGGGUGACAGAG